rnacentral:misc_RNA from 1 species
GCGUGAAUAUAAGACCUGGCUCUUAUAAACAGAACGUUCCCUGUCUUGUUUAGUUUUGAAGGAUCAUUCGAUUCUUCGAGAUAUUGUUCUUUGAAAACUAGAUAACAGAAGUAAUUCACAUUCAAUUAGUAAUGCAAGAUAUCACGUAGUGAUUCUUUUUAACGGUUAAGUUAGAAAGGGCGCACGGUGGAUGCCUUGGCACUAGGAGCCGAUGAAGGACGGGACGAACACCGAUAUGCUUCGGGGAGCUGUAAGCAAGCUUUGAUCCGGAGAUUUCCGAAUGGGGAAACCCACCACUCGUAAUGGAGUGGUAUCCAUAUCUGAAUACAUAGGAUAUGAGAAGGCAGACCCGGGGAACUGAAACAUCUAAGUACCCGGAGGAAGAGAAAGCAAAUGCGAUUCCCUGAGUAGGGCGAGCGAA